UGGAGAAGCAGGGCACGUGAG
rnacentral:miRNA from 3 species